AUCUAUGUCAUAUCACCCUGAACACGCCCAAUCUUGUUUGAUCUGGGAUGCUAGCUAAUUAGGGUCAGGCCUGGUUGGUUGCAACAUUGCCUGGAAAUACUAGGUGCUGUAGGCU
rnacentral:rRNA from 1 species